UCAUGUAGAUGAGCAAAGAAAGUGGUUUCUUGAGAUAGUAUCUACUCCUAGUGAAGAUACUGUGAA
rnacentral:pre_miRNA from 2 species